ACAGUGUGAGAUUCUUGUAUAACAAAAUGGGUCAUCAGGGAGUGGAGAUGCAGUGUUGGAACCAAGGUCAGAUGCAGCUGCAGCAAAUGAAGAUGCCAUUCAAAGGGCCUCAAGGUUUGCAAUUGGGUAAAAUGCUCAAUUUCAACCCACAGGUCAGGCUCGGUGAGCAGCUUUCCAGCUGUUUGUUCUGUAAUGGUUCCAGUGAACGAGAGGCACUGCGGUCCAAGAAAAUGUCCUGGAGCACCAGUGGGUUCUGGGCUGCUGGCUGAGGGCCACUUGGUAUGCUGUGCCACUGAGCUCUCAGCCGGAAUUUCACCUUGGCUAAAUAUUCCUCUCUCAAUCCACUAAUUCCCCAGAAAGGAGACUGUGGACGCACCAUGCCAUUGAAGAACAAUAGAGGAACUGUGGGCUGGGUAUUUGGGAAGAUUCCUGCAGAGGAGGCCAUUGUUCAGGGACCUGGCAUCAUGAUCAGGAUGCGGGCUGUGCGAUUUUUCUCUGAGGAGCUCUAGAAGCCUUGAACCAUGGACUUCAUAGUAUCUUGACUUUUUAGCUAAGUCCACGUGAGAGGUUGCAAAUGAAUGGUCAGUAGGCUGAACACUACCUCCAGGAGUGUUUUGUUUAGCUUGCAUGGUGUUUAAACAUUUUUUGAGUAAGUCACCAACAUUUUAAGAUUGGGAGAUUAAAAAUUUUAGAUUUCUAAUGUCUCUUGAAAAAAAGCAAAGGAAAGAUCUGGCAACGGCAUCACUGACAUCCCAUUCUUGCCACAGUCCGUCAGAAGCUGGAGAUUUACACUGGGCACCCAUUCCCUGGGCUUUCAUCCCACUGCUCCCUAUUGCCUAGUACUCAGUGGGCUU
ensembl:lncRNA